CAUUCAGUAGAAAUCGUGCUGAGAAUUUUGACUUUGGAUCUCCUUCCCGGCUUGUAGUGUGUGUUAUGAUGCUCUCCCACAAUGCUAGGCUGUGGCAUGGAGCUGCAGCGAGCCAAGCCAUCAUGAGAACCACAAGAUGAAAACCACCGAAUCUCUGCGUCAUUGCAUGGAGGGCCGCUUUCCAGAGAAUGGACUGGAUCCUGGCAUCAGAACUUAAAUAAUUGGCCUUCUACUCUGCACCCACACACCCUGGUGCAAAGCUUACCAAGGAAUCAUCCUGCCCACCCACACAAAGCCACAGAUGAGCUCCCAGGAUUGGCCCUUUGAGAUCUUGGCUACAGCUGUGCAUCCUCUGGGCCUGAGGGUUUGGAGGUGGCUUCAAGCAGGCAAGAAGAGACCUCCACCAGCAGCAGAAGCUGCUGCAUCAUAGCCCGGAAGGCAGGACCUUGAGAAAUGGACUCCAGGACCUGAACUGGGAUCUGCAGCACAAAAUGCAAGGAAGCAAACAACCUCAAAGAAGAUUUUGGAACACCACUGAAUAUGCAAUAUGGUGGCUCAAAGAUUCUGCUCCUUAGGAGGGAAAGGUCAGGAGUGAAAUGAAAUAUGUGUUUACUAGAGGAGGUGUGGGUAAUAUUUCUAUGACUUUAGCUGCUGGCAUGACUGUGUUAGAUUGCUGACUUCAUCCUUUUUCACAAUUGGUAAAGAAAAAGGAAAAGGGAAAAGGAAAACUCUCCUAGAAUACCAGAAUCAGUCAUAAAAUACGAAUAGAGUUAGAGGAAGAGCAUGUGCCACUGCUUCUGGGAUUCACCAUGGUUGUUGGUCAUGGACUUGACCCA